rnacentral:lncRNA from 1 species
AUGGUGGUGGCAGCGGCAGCUCGCCGUUUGCCCUUAUACAGCAGGCUUGGCUUACUGCAAACCACUCAGGGGUAGAUUUAUCCAGGAAGUGACUCCUUCCCAAAGGCUGAAGAAACAGAUAUAACAGGGGUUGAAGAAAGUCAUUCCAGACACAGCAACCUGGGAGAAAGUGGCUGCUCUCCAGGCUCCUGCAUCCAGUUACCAGGGAUUGCUUAAUAGCUGCGCCUUAUGCGCUUCAAGAUGCCCUUACUUACCUCAUCCCAACCUCUGCUCUGGAGUCUCGUUUGUUUUUAUUGACAAAGAAGUCUGGAGAGACCGCAGCAAAGUUUAUUAUUAAUUCACAUCCCAAAUAUUUCCAAAAGGGUAUAGCUGAGCCUCCUAUACUGUGCUUGCUGCCUGAGCACUUUGAACCUUAGACUGAAGAUGUAAGUGACGCUGCCUGAAGGAACC